CAAAUUGGAUGCAGAUAAAAAAUUGGAGAAAGGAAAGGACAGAGUAGAUGAUGAAGAAGUUACUUUUCAACGUAUGGUCGCCAAGGUUAGCAAAUCUCGUCUGCUUCCUUUUCCGAGCCCCUAGAGUAUGGAAAGUAAAAAUAUUAUUUUUAUAGUGAACUUUGGCAUCAUCUUUCUGUAAUAAUUUAAAGAACUUUUAAUUGAUUAUGAUAUGUUCCUAAGCUUACGUUUCAUUUUCAUUUUAUGCACCAUUUGGUUGACUUGUAAGAAUUCCAAUGUGGUGAUCCUUUUACACGAUUCUGUCAUGUUGUAUGGACGACAGGAGAAAACAAAGCCGUAUGAUGGUCAGGAGGAGAUUGUGAAAGCACUGAAAGUGUUGGAGCGAGAUUCGAUAUAGCAAUCGCCAAGAGCUUCACCUCUCUCUUUUCUUCUCUCCAUUUAAUCCUCUCACAAGUUUCUAUACAAAUUAGCGUAAUCAAUUUUUUGUUGACUCUUGUUGUUUAUUUUAUUGAUGACUAUGUUUAGUAAACUGAAAUUGUAAGUUUUCUGCCCUUUGAUCGUAUAUUUCGGAGCAAAUUUCAUGAAAAGGUUGAAUCUUUCUAAAUUAUAAAAAAAAGAAAAGAAAAGGUGAGUUUUAAAUAGAUUCCUCCUUUAAAUAUGAGAUGAACUAAUUUAGAUGUUUCAAAAUAGUGUCUAGCUGACAAAUAUAAUGCAUUUAUGAAAUAUUCUAUACUAAUAAAGUUUACCCUGUUUCGAAUUUCCUCCUGCUUUAUAGAACAUGUGGAGAGAGGAGAGUUUUCUUCUUGUUUAAGUCUGUCUGGAACUUGAUUCUUGAGAGCAAUUCAAUGUCUCCUUUGGUAAGCAUUCGAGUCAGGCUUCUUAUUCGUCCACAAGUAAAUGCAUCUAUUAAUUGACUCUCUUUUUGUCAUUCUACCUAGGGUAGAGAAUGUUUUAAACACAAAAGAGAUGAUGCUCCAGAGAAAAUUAGAGUAGGUCAGCCAGGGGCGGAGCUACAUAGAGGCGAGUGAAGGCAUACGCCUCACCUCAUCUGGGAUUUCUUACAACAAUUGAAGGCAGUGCCUGCAUUGGGGUUUCUAUAGGAUUGAAUUUGCUGGAAACUUGAAGGUUGGAUGCAGCCCCCAACUCGCUAUUGUUGCACUCUUCAAAAGUUUGAACGCAGGCAGAAUGGAAGGGGAGGGAAGGGAAGAUAAGUUUUUACUUGGGCCAAUUUUUAAUGUUUUCUAAAUUGUAACUUGUAAACCUUUU
rnacentral:lncRNA from 1 species